rnacentral:sRNA from 1 species
CACCUGGUCGCUGAUUUUGUCUGCAGCCGCAAUUGCCU